rnacentral:lncRNA from 1 species
AUUGCUGAAGAACUGUCCAUCAUUCAGGAAAACUCCACCCGUUAGCUUCCUGUAUCUCAGAAAAUGUUCAUCAUCUCAAUUGCUAUCUCUAUUAUCUCUGUUAAAUGUGAGACACUAUUCUACCUACCCUGGUCCUGAAAUCUGUUCAUCUGCAAAAAGAAGGUCUCGUGGACCUGUUAUGGCAGCAAAAAAAGCGUCUGAAGGUGCAUAAGUUAACCUAAUUGAAUGAAUUCCACUGUGAAUAGAUUGGAACUCAAGGUUUCGUUUUGAUGGUUUCUGACGUUUGCAGUCUCCCCCUUCUGUUUUGAAUAUAGUUAGGUCCUUCAUAAAGUUUUCCUGUUUAUUUUAUCUUUCCUUUGAAAGGGAUGGCUGAAUAGGACAACAGCAUAGAAGUCCCAAAUAAAAAUUAUGGUUACAGGGAAGUUGAGAAUUGAAAUAUUUCUUAAUUGACGAUAAGAAAUAUACCAAAUAAUAUGAAACUGCAAAAAGUUAAAUUUAAGUGGCAAAAUAUAAGUUGAACAGUAAGGUGUGGGUGAACAAGUGAAGUUUGCCUUGUCUAUGAGGGAGGGAUAUUUGUUGUCACUCCUUAAUACUGAUUUGGAUCCUGUCUUUGUAAUUGCUAAGUACUUGAUACCCUUUAGGAUUAAAGAAGGAUGAUGGAAAAUACAAACACACGGUUGACCUACCAAAGACAACAUUUAGCUUGAGGGCAAAUUCUACAGUAAGGGAGCCUGAGAUUCAGAAAUUGUGGGAUGAGCAUCAGGUGUUUAAGAGAGUUGUUGAUAGGAAUGAUGGAGUAAGUAUUUCUGCACACUUGAAUCUGUCUCAUACCUCCCUUUGUUGUAAUUAAUGUUUUGUUACUUUGACAGGGUAGUUUUAUUCUCCAUGAUGGUCCUCCUUAUGCUAAUGGUGAUUUGCACAUGGGGCACGCUUUAAAUAAAAUUUUGAAGGAUAUUAUAAACCGUUACAAGGUAGCCAUGCUGUCCUUCAUAUUGCUACUUUGAUCUUGAUAAUGAAAGUUCAUCCAUGUUUUCCAGAUUUUCAGUUAUUGUUGGCUGAUACUCAUAUUCAAGCAUCUGUGCCUACAUGUUCUCAUAAACAUCUUGUUGUCUAAUAAUUCUUUGUUCUUUACAGCUUCUUCAAAAUUUUAAGGUUCAAUACGUUCCAGGGUGGGAUUGUCAUGGCUUACCAAUAGAACUAAAAGGCACGUAUCAGUGGCUAUUAAUGUAAUAAUUUGUUGUGUUUAAUUCAUUAUUCCCAUUUUUGGUUGGCAACUAUUCACAUGCUAUGAUGCUUUUGGUCAGGGGUUACUGUAAUAUAUAAAAUAGAAGCUAGAAAUUAUGCAUGAAGCAGAAAAUGUAAAAAUGAAAGGCAAGAAUGGCACUUUAGGAGAAAAACUAGAAUUACUUCAAGUAUGCUUAUUUGAACUGGCAAAUUUAUUUUUGUUAAUAAGAACAAAAAUUCCUUGUAAUUUGGGAAUCUAACAGAUAUGUUUGUGCUCCAUCUUUUUGUGAAUUAUUUCAGUAUUGCAGUCACUAGAUGAGGUUACCAGGAAGGAGCUGACACCAUUAAAGUUGAGGAAAAAGGCAGCAAAAUUUGCCACUGCAACUGUGAAAGCUCAAAUGGCAUCAUUUAGGGUAUUCACUCGAGUUUUUUAUUGUUAGACUAAUAUAGGCUAACCUUUUUUCUCACAAAUCAAUCCCUGGGUGUCUGAGAAAUUCUUCAGUGCUAAUGGUUCCUUCAAAGUGGGUUUCAGAGAUAUGGAGUAUGGGGAGACUGGGAUCAUCCUUAUCUAACUCUUGAUCCAGAGUAUGAAGCUGCACAGGUAGUUGGAAUAGCUAUUAAGGGAUUUUAUAUUUUAAGGCUUCCUUGGUUAAGAUUUUUGUAGCACAUCUUGUUAUAGCAGGUCAAUUUCGACAAUGCAUGGUUGAAUUUUUUUGUGGGGUGGGGGGGGGGGGCAGGGACGUCUGUAUUUUGUGUUUUACAUCUUUCUCAUUAUCUUAUUGAAGGCCAAUAUACACCUGCUUGCAUUUGCAGCUUUCAUAGUUUACUACUUAGGAGUUGAAGCUUAUUGAUCUGUUUUACCUGAUUUCUGCAAGAUUGAAGUAUUUGGCAAAAUGGCUAUUCAAGGGUUUAUCUAUAGGGGAAGAAAACCAGUUCACUGGAGUCCGUCAUCACGCACUGCUCUUGCUGAAGCAGAGUUGGAGGUAGAUGGAUCUUUCCAUACAUCUUCUCAAUGGGCCCAUUUUCCUGUAUUUUCUGCAUGCUUUUGCCACUAAAGAAUUCAAAAUCUGGCCAUGCCAUCUCCUUUCCAUUCUCCUUUUCUGAGGAACUUUAGAGAUGUACAUUAAGUGCUUUGAUACCCUUGCUCUUUUGUCAUUGAUUCAAAUCGUACUUUUAAUAGCUUAAAAAUUUUAUACCUUAAAAUCUCUAACAAUUAAGGGCUAUUAAUGAAAUUUGAAAGUAUUUACCUUCAAUCAUUGAUUUUGGUAAAACUUUUGGGACACCUAAGAGAAUUGAGGGCCAAUAAAGAUGGGAUAUGGUGUAACUUUUGGUGCUUGAAAUAAUUAUUCAUCCCGAUGAACAAACUUAACAUGCCUCUCAUCUAUAUACACCUUAUCUUCUUUGAAAUUCACCUGCAGUAUCCUGAAGGGCAUGUUUCCAACAGCAUGUAUGCCAUUUUCAAACUAGUCAAUGCUCCGAAUUUGUGCAAUUUAUUGGAGGAAUUCUUCCCUAAUUUGUGCUUGGCUAUCUGGACCACAACUCCAUGGACUAUACCUGCUAAUGCUGGUAAGUUAAUUGUCAUGUGUUAGAAAGGAGAUAAUUAGGCUUAUUUGCAGGAAUUCUAUUACUUUUAACGUUAUCUUCUGUCAAAAUUUGUUGGACUUAGAAGUACAUGACUGCUAUAGAGGAUACGUAAUGUGCAUGUGAUAUUUUAAAGUUAUGGAAAGAUGGACACAUGCAAUUCAAUGUGUCCAACUCAAUCUGUAAUGUCCUCCAUAUAUCCAUUCUUUUACCUCUGGUUGAGUUGUUGGGUAUAUUUUUAUUUUUUUUUCUUUCAAGAAAGGCUCUACCUUUUUUGAGAUAAACAGAUGAAAUUUGAAUUCUUUGUUUCUCUUAUCAUGAAAAGAAAUUUGGAAAGUAAUGCUUACUGAAUUGGCCGGCACGCUAGGUGCUUGAUCAUAGGUCCCAUUUUUUAUGUUUACUUUUCUUUUUCCUUUUUUUUGGACUUCUCUACAUUGAUUUUCUAAGCAUGGGGAGUAUGGUAAGACGUGUGUGCUGUUCAGUGACUUUUUUUUUAAGUGAAAAAUUUCUACUUCUAUUAAGUAUUGGCAACAAAGUAACGGAGCUUUUUAUGUAUGCAUAGACCAAUUUUGCUUUUCAUCUUUGUUUAAUUAUGAAUUAUAGAGAAGUGACAAUAUUCGUCACCUGGUAAUCUGAGGCCGAUUAGAAGUUUUAAAUUGAAUUUUGUUUUGGUUAUUUAUGUGUCAGUCUCCUAUUCCAGUUGUUUCUUAUUGACCAAAGCUUGUGGAAGGCUGUCCAUCAUCUAGAAAGAAUUCUAGAUGAGAGAUCCUACAGAAUGACUUGAUCAUUCCUCUUUAGAAUUGGAGCAAUUUAAUUUGGUAUCUUAUAUUUCCUCAGGUGAUAUUGCUGAAGAACUGUCCAUCAUUCAGGAAAACUCCACCCGUUAGCUUCCUGUAUCUCAGAAAAUGUUCAUCAUCUCAAUUGCUAUCUCUAUUAUCUCUGUUAAAUGUGAGACACUAUUCUACCUACCCUGGUCCUGAAAUCUGUUCAUCUGCAAAAAGAAGGUCUCGUGGACCUGUUAUGGCAGCAAAAAAAGCGUCUGAAGGUGCAUAAGUUAACCUAAUUGAAUGAAUUCCACUGUGAAUAGAUUGGAACUCAAGGUUUCGUUUUGAUGGUUUCUGACGUUUGCAGUCUCCCCCU